rnacentral:rRNA from 2 species
UAACGGGGCUAAACCAUGCACCGAAGCUGCGGCAGCGACGCUGAUGCGUUGUUGGGUAGGGGAGCGUUCUGUAAGCCUGUGAAGGUGGCCUGUGAGGGUUGCUGGAGGUAUCAGAAGUGCGAAUGCUGACAUAAGUAACGAUAAAGCGGGUGAAAAGCCCGCUCGCCGGAAGACCAAGGGUUCCUGUCCAACGUUAAUCGGGGCAGGGUGAGUCGACCCCUAAGGCGAGGCCGAAAGGCGUAGUCGAUGGGAAACGGGUUAAUAUUCCCGUACUUGGUGUUACUGCGAAGGGGGGACGGAGAAGGCUAUGUUGGCCGGGCGACGGUUGUCCCGGUUUAAGCGUGUAGGUGUGUGUUCCAGGUAAAUCCGGUUCACUUUAACACUGAGGCGUGAUGACGAGGCACUACGGUGCUGAAGCAACAAAUGCCCUGCUUCCAGGAAAAGCCUCUAAGCAUCAGGUAACAUCAAAUCGUACCCCAAACCGACACAGGUGGUCAGGUAGAGAAUACCAAGGCGCUUGAGAGAACUCGGGUGAAGGAACUAGGCAAAAUGGUGCCGUAACUUCGGGAGAAGGCACGCUGACAC